rnacentral:rRNA from 1 species
GUGCCAGCAGCCGCGGUAAUACGUAGGGUGCGAGCGUUGUCCGGAAUUACUGGGCGUAAAGAGCUCGUAGGUGGUUUGUCGCGUUGUUCGUGAAAACUCACAGCUUAACUGUGGGCGUGCGGGCGAUACGGGCAGACUAGAGUACUGCAGGGGAGACUGGAAUUCCUGGUGUAGCGGUGGAAUGCGCAGAUAUCAGGAGGAACACCGGUGGCGAAGGCGGGUCUCUGGGCAGUAACUGACGCUGAGGAGCGAAAGCGUGGGGAGCGAACAGGAUUAGAUACCCUGGUAGUCCACGCCGUAAACGGUGGGUACUAGGUGUGGGUUCCUUCCUUGGGAUCCGUGCCGUAGCUAACGCAUUAAGUACCCCGCCUGGGGAGUACGGCCGCAAGGCUAAAACUUAAAGGAAUUGACGG